GAUAUUCACAAUUAACUUCUCACACACCUUAAUUUAUUUUAUUGGAUCAUGUCUGUUGAUUUAUCAAAUUCGAUUGCUAUAAAUUAAAAAUUGUGUAUGAAAAAUCAGCUCCUAUUUUUCAUUUGUCAAAACUAUCAAUUUAUUUAUUUAUUGGUAACAAUAUGGUUGUGAGUUGUAACAUUGGUUUGAAUGUCAACGUAGGAAUCAACCGCAUUCGUGAUCUGAAAUUGAUCCAUUGUCGGUCACGCCAAAUUUUGGACUUCAUGUGUGACGAGAUAAAACAGUUGACUGAUGAAGAAAUGAGGGAUGGCCUUGUGUAUGAAGCAGUAUACAGUGCUGUCCAAAAUGGGAUUGUUGAGGUCGUUAUUGAUCUAUGUGAAGCCAGACCAGAAUUAUUGUUCAGAGGCUUAGAGGACGGAAAGAACAUAUUUUAGUAUGCUGUUGAAUGCCGUCAAGAAAAUGUUUAUAGCCUUAUAUACGGGGUUGGUCAAAGAAAUCUCAUUACGACUUUGAGAGAUAAUUCUGACAACAGCAUACUACAUUAUGCCGGGAUGUUAUCUCCAUUGGCAAGCAAAAAGCUUGGUGGUAUUGCAGGUGCAGCCUUGCAAAUGCAGAGAGAAAGGCAGUGGUACAAGGAGGUAGAGAAUAUUGUGGGCCCACUCUCGGGAGCCUCAUCUUUAAACAAAGAUGGUUUGACACCCCCAUAAUUAUUUACCGAGAAACACAAGGAAUUGCUCAAGGAUGGAGAAAAGUGGAUGAAAGAUACAUCGACUUCUUAUACAACUGUCAAUGCCCUCAUUAUUACAAUCAUGUUUGCUGUAGCAUUCACAGUUCCUGGUGGAAACCACCAAGAAACAGGGUUUCCCAUAUUUUUAAACAAAAAGCUAUUUAUGAUUUUUAUAGUUUCGGAUUCUAUUUCGCUAUUUUCUUCCGCAACUUCAGCAUUGAUGUUUUUAAGCAUCCAUAUAUCGCGUUAUGCUGAAGAUGAUUUCCCCAAAUCCUUACCCACAAAGAUGAUAACUGGCAUUUCCACACUCUUCAUCUCCAUUGUGGCCAUGAUGGUUGCCUUUUCUUUUGCCCUAUUCAUCAUGCUUCCGGACAAAUCAUGGAUUAUUACUCCAAUCAUUGUCCUUUCUGGUGUUCCCAUCAUUUAUUUUAUUUGGAUGCACCCUCCCCUUCUCGGAAUUUUCGUAUCUACUUAUGGUGGAGGAAUUUUCGAUAGAAAAGUCAAACGCUGGAUGUAAAUUCUUGAUGGUGUAUGCGAUAUAUUGUGUAACUGUAGCAAUGUAAUGAUUGUCACCUCUAAGAAAGUUUGUAUGCUUGGUACACACUAUGUAAGUGUUUGAUUCCUCUAAUAAAAACCCCAUUGUUCAAA